rnacentral:rRNA from 1 species
UAGGGAAUUUUGCGCAAUGGGGGAAACCCUGACGCAGCAACGCCGCGUGAACGAUUAAGCCUUUCGGGGUGUAAAGUUCUGUCAGUGGGGACGAAAAAUGACGGUACCCACAGAGGAAGCACCGGCUAACUCCGUGCCAGCAGCCGCGGUAAUACGGAGGGUGCAAGCGUUGUCCGGAAUCAUUGGGCGUAAAGAGUUCGUAGGUGGUAUGUUAAGUCUGGUGUUAAAGCCCGAAGCUCAACUUCGGUUCGGCACUGGAUACUGGCAAACUUGAAUGCGGUAGAGGUAAAGGGAAUUCCUGGUGUAGCGGUGAAAUGCGUAGAUAUCAGGAGGAACAUCGGUGGCGUAAGCGCUUUACUGGGCCGUAAUUGACACUGAGGAACGAAAGCCGGGGUAGCAAAUG